rnacentral:misc_RNA from 1 species
GUGGUUCCUCCUCGGCCCAGUCCUCAGCUCAUUUUGGAGCGCUGCACUGAAAACACAAGCAAGAGGAUGAGCUUGCAAGAGGCUGACUGAAGCAUCCCACUAAGAUAUUUUAUGUUUAAUAGACGUUUAAUAGACAUCUAAACGUGUGUCAUACAUCAGCAUCACUGUCAUGGCUGCCUCCAUAUGAAAACAUGCCAGAAC